GGCCGGGCCGGGCGGCGGCGGCGGCGGCGGCGGCGUCGUCGUCAGCGGCGGCAGCGGCAGCAGCGCUCCCCGGCAGCAUGGGCGGCUCUGCCUCCAGCCUGCUGGACGAGAGCAAGUGCACCUACAUCCGAGGAAAAACAGAGGCUGUCAUCAAAAACUUCAGCCCACACUACAGACGCCAGUAUGCCGUGGCUUUCUGCAAGCACGUGCAGGAUGAGCUGGAGCAGCACCGGGAUUCCCAGUCUCGGUUCCUGAAAACCAAGCCUCUGGUGGAAGCUGGGACAGUCUUAUACGAAGCAGAACUGCUUCAUUUUGCUGAGGAUCUGAAGAAGUGGAAGGACAGAUAUGUUGUUAUAAAAAACGACUACACUGUGGAUUGCUUUGAGACUAAAGAGGCCUACCAGAAAGGAGCCAGCCCUAAAUAUCAAGUUCUUCCUGCAGGAGGCAAAGUACUGACUUCAGAAGAAGAUUACAAUUUGCUGUCUGAUAAACAUUUUCCAGAUCCUGUUGGGUCGAGUGAGAAGGAGGUCGCUCAAGCCUUCGUUCAGCUGCCGAGGGAGUUCCCGGUUUACCUGUGGCAGCCCUUCACCCGGCACAGCUACUAUUGCUUCCCAGAGCCAGAAGCUCAGAGGCAGUUCAGCGCUGUGCUGGGCGACUGCGUGAGGCACUCAAACCACGAUUUUCUCAAGCAGACCACGUAUGAAGUCGAGGCAUUCUUAGAAGCCAUUCAGUUCUUCCGGCAGGAGAAAGGCCACUAUGGGAUGUGGGAAAUGAUAACUGGCAACGAAAAAGAGAUCCUGAGCAACCUUGUGAUGGAGGAACUCCUGCCUAACCUUCAGACAAUGAUCCUGCCUAAAAUGAAAGGAAAGAGGAACGAUAGGAAGCGGGCCUGGUUUGGUAUCGUAGAAGAAACUUACGGCUUAGUCCAGCAGCAGGUGUCAGAAGGCUUAAGUACCUUGAAAGAAGAAUGCAGAGAUUUUGCAAAAACUCUGGAAGGAACCAUUCGUUCAGACAUGGAUCAGAUUCUGAACUCCAAGAACUUCUUAGCUGGAAAAAUCAAAGCCACUGUUUCUGAGCCUGCCCAGAAGUGCUGCACAGAAAAUAUCCAGCCAUUUCUCACAUCCAUAUUAGAGGAGCUCAUGGGUCCAGUGAGUUCUGGAUUCACUGAAGUCCGCUCCCUUUUUGAUAAAGAAGUUAAUGAAAUCAUCCAGGACUUCCAGAAGACAAAUGAUAUCACAAAGCUAAAGGAGAACAUGGAUCAGCUCAUGAACCUACCAUUCAACUCUGCGAAAAUGGAGCCCUGCUAUCUGAAAGUGAACCUCCUCCAGGAGCUCUUUCAAGACCUCAAGAAUCGCUUCAAGGUGUAUCACAUUGAUUUUGUGAUUCAGAGGACACAGAACUUCAUGCAAGAGCUGAUGGAAAAUGCAGUUUAUACUUUUGAGCAGUUGUUCUCUCCAAGUCGCCAGGCAGACCCAGCAAAAUUUGCAACAACCAUUGAAAAAGUCAAGCUGAGAGUACUGAAGCAAUAUGAUUAUGACAGCAGCACUAUCCGGAAGAAGAUAUUUCAAGAAGCACUGGUACAGAUUACUUUGCCCACAAUGCAAAAGACACUGGCUUCAACGUGCAAACCGGAGCUGCAGAAAUACGAGCAGUUCAUUUUUGCUGAUUACACUAGCGUGAUCCAAGUAGAGAAUGUGUAUGAAGAGAUUUUAUAUCAGACACUGCUUGAAGAAACCCUGAAAGUGAUAAAAGAAGCUGCCAUUAUGAAGAAGCACAACCUCUUUGAAGAUAACUUGAAUAUGCCCUGUGAAAGCGUGUCCAGCUUAACGGACCUGAAGACCCCUUCAGGAUCAGCACAAACCACUCCCGCAAAGAAACCUUCCACUGCCCGAGCCGAGAUGUCAGACACUGAAACUCAAAGUGAUGAAACACUCAUUGUGACAGAAAAUAUUUCCUGGGAGAAGGAUAGUGAUGAUAGAAAGUCAUCAGACAAAGAGGCAGUCACUGCUGUUAAUAUGGCUGGUCAUCAGGCAAGCAAAAAUGAAGAAGUGGUCAUUACAGACAUCAGUGAGAAACGGGAGUCCCUUUCAGCUACCCUUAGAAAACAAGAAGUUGCAGAGGAAAAAAGUGCUUUGGAGAAUGAAGACACGGUGAAAGCAGAGUUUGUAGCGAACACUGAGAAAGAGCUUAAGACACAGCAAAAAGCUGUGGAGGAAAAAGUAGCUCCUGGGACUGAAACUGCAGUGAAAGAUUUUGGAGCCAGCCCUAAAAAAGAACUUAAGGUACAUAAAGGAGCAGUGGAGGAAAAGGUAACUUCUGAGAGUCAAACAGCAAUGGAUGCUGUGUUUGUCGGUGACACUGAAAAAGAAAGCAAAGCACAGGAAGAAGUUUCUGAGAUAAAGCUGACUUCCCCACAUGAUAACGUAGCAGAAACAGAGAUUUUAGGGAAUGCCAAAAAGAAAAUCAAGAUAGAAAAAGAAAUUAUGGAAGAAGUAUCUCAGAGUGAAAAUGUGGUAGGAACAGGGCUUGAAGAGGAUAGUAGAAAAGAAAGCAAUGACCAAGGAGCAAGUACUGAGACAGGGGUUAUUUCCCAGGAUGAAAACACAGGGAAAGGUGGGUUUGGGGAUAAUCCUGAAAAAGAAAGCAAGUCAGAAGGAAAGAGUUGUAAAUUCCCUGAUGAUGUGAAUGAGAUAAGGAGUUUGCUGAUGGUAACGGUUGAGAUACCAGCAGGUACUCCAGCUGAGAACAUAAAGGAGAUUUGUGAAGGUGAGAUAUUAAAGUUGCAGGAGCACAGUAAAGAGGAUGAUGAGUUGAGCAAAAUGGUUGCGGCAGAAAUUCAGGUGAGCCAGACGAUGAUGAAUAAAGACCCAGCAGAAUGCGUGGAGUUCAAGGAGGACCGACCAUCUUCAUGUAGUUUGGGGACAGAUGGUACGAAUUUAGUGAAUGUGUCCAAGGGGGCCUGCAAUAUGGCACAAGCAGAAUGGCUGGUGGAAAGCUCAGAUACGCCUCAGGAGGCAAAGGCAGAGGUGGAGAUCAAGCAAAGCGCUUGGCACACAGGUGUGGAAAGCUGCGAAAGUGAUAGACUGCAGCCGGAGGAGCACACUGAAAAUGUGCCUGAAGGCAAAAGAUUAGAUGGGGAGGAAGGAGGAGCAGGGAAUAGCCAUGCCAUCCCAGUGGAGGUAGGAAGCUUUUUUCAUAAUCCUGCUGAAAAUGCAGACACAACGCAAGUGCCCGUUUUGGAUACAGAAAACCCAAGAACAGGACUGCUAGAUGUGCCAGUUUCUUUGGUGCUGGAGCAGGGCGAGGUUAGCGCCGUAGAGGUCACAGGAGAUACGGAGACUGGUGAGGGUGAAGGGAAGCCAGAAGGUGAAUCAUCUUCACAAACGGAAAUAAAAAGCACAGAAGGAGAAGAUAUUUUCAGAGAAAAAAACAGAGAAGAUAGUUAUGCACAACAAAACUCUGAAGAAUAAGAAGCGUUUUUCAGCCCAGCCCUGCAGGAUUUAUUUAGUCCAGUAAUCCCUGUUUAAUUGUGAAUACUUACUUGGGUUGGGGCUGGAGGAAAUGGGCUUUGUUGUGGUAUUACCAGCUCUUGCAGUUUUAGCACAGAUAUCUUCCUGACUGAUAGGUGAUAGAUUUCUUUUUGGUUAAAGCCCUCACUGUUUAAAACCAGGUUAUUGUUGGGGAACCUCAUCUUUCACUUAAAACUUGCUACCUUUUAUGGUUAUAGAAAAAAUCAGAAAAUGUGACCACUGAAUGCUUCAAAAGCAGCUCACCCCCAACUAUAAAGUUAUUUUAACAACGUAACUCUUCUUAGGUGUUUUAGCAGGGGAGUAGCUCAUGAUUUUUAAAUGCAUGGAUUUGACAAGUACUGCUAUGAUUCUUAGGUGGUUGGUACAUACGUUGCUAUUCGACGAUGCUUUUAGUAUUUGCAUGCAGUAUAUGGGAAAUAAAUAAAACUUUUAGUAGUUAAACA
rnacentral:lncRNA from 1 species